rnacentral:rRNA from 1 species
UACAGAGGGGGCAAGCGUUGUUCGGAAUUACUGGGCGUAAAGGGCGCGUAGGUGGCCUGUUAAGUCGAACGUGAAAUCCCUGGGCUCAACCCAGGAACUGCGUCCGAUACUGGCAGGCUUGAAUCCGGGAGAGGGAUGCGGAAUUCCAGGUGUAGCGGUGAAAAUGCGUAGAUAUCUGGAGGAACACCGGUGGCGAAGGCGGCAUCCUGGACCGGCAUUGACACUGAGGCGCGAAAAGCCAGGGAGAGACAAGCGG